rnacentral:lncRNA from 1 species
UGGAGGCCCAACCCAUUUCCUCUCUUUCUCUUCUUCUCUCUUUUCUCUUCCUCCUCUCUCCCGUGCUCUCCUCCCACUGCCGGACUGUCCAGCCACCAACUGCCGCCGUCCGGCCAGCCACCGGCCGCCGCUCCACCCCAGUUCGGACCCCCAUCUCCUCCUCUCCCUCCCCGGCCUAGCCCCCGAGCCUCUAACCCGCCGGAAGAGGAGAAAACCCGCCGGAAACGCCGGGAAGCAUUUCGCCGGAACUCCCUCCUCCGGCCACCAAUCCGGGCAAGCUUGGUACGGUUUUGUAGCCCUCCAACCCAGCAGCCUUGCCCUAAAAGGACUCACUCCCUCUUGAGCUAGGUAAGGAGAAAUUUGAGGUGGAAGUUUUAUGGUGUUUUUGAUGUUUUUAGUCGAUUUCCCUAGUUAGGCUUGGAAUUGGUGUUUGUGCUAGUUAUGAAAGUUGUAGAGCAUGAUGAGAGGAAGAUGCUGUUAAAAUUUCAUAGGUUUUGGAGGUCGCCGGAAUUGACCUCCGGCCGCCGCUGCCGGUUGGGAGAUUUUAAUGUUGUUAAAUUUGGAAUAUUAAGGGGAGUUUAUUGAAGUGAGUUAUGGAAUUUUUGGAUGAGUUUUGGAUAGGUUUAUGAAUUUCCGAAGUUUGGUAUUUUUGGCUGUUAAUUAAUGUAGAAUCUGGCCGUAAGAUUUAAGUCGUAUUUUUGGGGAGGUUAUAUUUACGACUGCCGAGGAUGAUAUUUAAGUUCGGAUCGUUCGGAUCGUUCCGAUUUAAGAAUAUCGAAGUUAGGCAAUGAUGAGCGUGUUUAUGGCUCUCGGGAAAUUUUGUCUAUUUUGAUUAAUUAUUGGAUUGUUAGUUGGGAAAUUAAUAUUAUUUCUGGAUCAGGUCGUGAGGAGGCUCGAGCUGACGAGGCCCCAGAUCGACAUCAGGCUUAGGCCUAAUUUGUGAGUGGACUUUUGUUUUAAAUAAUGUGCGUGCGAAAUAAUUUAUGUUGUUGGAGAAUAACCGAAAUUGAGAAUUUCGGUGAGUGUAUAUAUAUAUAUAUCCAUAUGUGAAUGAUUAUGAGAAUAAUAUGUAUAUG